GGGUCCGAACCUACACAGGUGGACUCAAAUGAGGGACCAAACAUACACUAACAUAACUCUAAACAACUCCCCAAAAACCCCCUAAAAAAUUACAAAAUAUUCAUAGAAAACAUGCAAAGGAAGGCUGAAUAGGGCACUUUCAGCGGCAGGUUCGGCGGCCGAAAGUCCCUCCAGAGUCGAAAGCCAUGCACCUUCGGCGGCACCUUCGGCGGCCGAAGGUUCCUUCCAGAUCCGAAACUCAUGCAUGUUCGGUGGCACCUUCGGUGGCCGAAACUGCCCUCCAGAGCCGAAAGUCCAAACUUUCGGGGGCAAGCUUAGACGGCCAAAAGUGCCACCAUAGGCAGGUUCGGCGGCCGAACAUGCCUUCGGCUGCCGAACCUGAGUUCUUCCAGAAAUGGCAGAACUCAGCCCUCACAUGCACAAAUGCCUCCCUAAACCUUCCAAACAUACAUUUAGCUAUUCUACAACAUGCAUAAACUCAUUCUCAAGCAUAUAGGGGCAUAAAACUAGCCUAGACCCCAACAAACAACAACAUAACAUCACAUUACAUACAUUUAUCCUCAAAUCUACAUAAACCCUAACAUUUUUUUACAACUAGCUUAAACAUGCAUUUCUACCCCAUAAACCUUCAUAGAACUUGUUUAAAACAUCAAAGACGAUGGGGAUCGACGCUUACCUCUUGAAGAUCGAGAGAAGGCGUGACCCAAACUUGGAGAUUGAGAGGAUUUGAGCUCUGGGGUCUCCAAGCUUUUCAACUUCGAUUUUGAACUUAAAAUCUUUAAAACCAAGAUAAAACUUAUUAAAAACUUGAAAGGAUUAAAGGAAAACCUCAAAACCAACUAUGAAAGGGCAUGAAUUCACCUUUGCCCGAAAAUGGAGGAGAAAACUCGCCCAUUUUCGGACAUGGGGUCUUUUAUAGGUGGCUGGCCAGACCACCUUCGGAAGCCAAAGGUGACUCCAAAACUCCACCAAGUUCGGCGGCCGAACAUGUAACGACCCGAAAAUCGGACCGCUACCGGCGCUAGGAUCCAGAUCGGCUUAAGGCCGCCGGAACCCGUAGCAAGCCUGACAUAUAACCUGAAAACCUGUAUAAUCCCAUACAUGAUCAACAACAUACACAAAAAAAUUAAAACUUUUCUUUCCAUAUACAUCAACCAAACUCAACCUGUGCAUGCACUGUAUAUAACAUAAACCAUAAACAUUGAUCCCUCAGUGGGAUCUCAUCAGUGCCCCCAAUGGGUGACAAAACAUAUGUUGAGUUGGUUUACAUAAACAUCAUAAAAAUCUCUAAGAUCAUGUAUUAAAAGGGAUAACAACAAUCUAUGGUCAAGCACACCUCUAGCAUCAAUAAACAUCAUCUCAUUACAUAUCUAAACUGUACUGAUUAAGACAUUACAUUACAGUUUGAUCGUGUCCAUUGCUAGCUAUUACAUAACCAUGACUUCUUUACUCUAUCCGGACUCCUGCUCUAUACUGUACCUGCAAGCCUGGGGUAAAGGGAGAGGGGUGAGCUAAAAGCCCAGUGAGUAGAACCAUAAAAACAUAUUAACACUAUGCUCUAUGAAAUGCAUCAUAACACAGACAAUUCACAUAAGGGUUGGGUGAACUUGUCACCAAUUAGUCCAAGCUAAUUCCGUGCCAGGCCGUAGCAUGGGGUCCUGGUCUUCCUGUCAUAACAUACAUUACUUACCAUUGCCCCAGGGCCUCCUCUGGACUCCUGGUCUUCGAGUCCCAUAACCGUGCCAGGCCGUAGAAUGGGGUCCUGGUCUUUCCUUACAUUGUGCCAGGCCGUAGAAUGGGGUCCUGGUCUUCCUGUCAUGGACUAAUUGGGUCAUUCAAUAUUCACCCACAUCAACAACAAUCGAUGCAAUGCGGCAUAUUCGUGAAAACUAAUGCAAUCAUCCUACUGUAUAAUCAUGAUGCAUGAAACAUGAUAAAACAUUUAAUUUCUCAAUUUAAAAGAUUAAGUUUAGUUCCACUCACCUCUGGCUGACUCUGACAACACCGAAGCAGCUGAACUCACUGCUAGGGUCCUCGGUUCCUCGGGUCCGAACCUACACAGGUGGACUCAAAUGAGGGACCAAACAUACCUGAACAUAACUAUAAACUACUCCCCAAAAACCCCCUAAAACAUCAUGAAACAAUCAUAGAAAAACAUGCAAAAGAGGCCUGGACAGGGCACUUUCGGCGGCAGGUUCAGCGGCCGAAAGUCCCUCCAGAGCCGAAAGUCAGGCAGGUUCGGCGGCACCUUCGGCGGCCGAAACUCCCAGACAGAGACGAAACUCAUGCAUGUUCGGCGGCACUUUCGGCGGCCGAAACUGCCAGACAGAGACGAAAGUCUCCUUUCGGG
rnacentral:lncRNA from 1 species